ACCAAAUACUGCAAUGAUCUUUGAGAAUAUCCUCACCCUACUUCCCUCUUCAGCCCAGCCAAUACCUUAGUCAUCUCAUGUACAGAUAAGCUUGUGAGUUUAAAAGUCUAGCUUUGUUGAUUCCUGACCCUGUUCCCAGAUACAUAGCCCUCUUCUACUAUCCCAUGUUUCUGUCUCUGCCCAUAUGAAUGUCCCUUCCCUUAUCCACAACUUUCCGUCUCUUCUUCCCUUUACUUUCUAUUUCACAUACUCUGAAGUGCUCAGAUAGGCAUUAAGUUAAUGUUAUGAUUAAAGGAAAUUCAUUCUAAACCAUGAAUGAGAUCCCCUUAUGGAGCAUUUCC
rnacentral:lncRNA from 1 species